CAGCGCCAUAGCCACCAUGGAGCUGGAUAAGGAGCAGCUGUCAGUGUGACCACAAAGCCAGAGGGGCUGCACUUCCUGCACGUCACUGGUUAACACACUGAGAAAUAAAGCAAGGAAUAAGGCAGAUGAAAAAUCUAAAUAUCACCAAUAUUGCUGAUAAAGAUGUGAUCUUCUAUUCACCCGUCUGGACUUUUCAUGCUUUGCUGUUGGGCUACACUGCUUGUCAAAGCUCCUAAUGUAGCACUGUUGCAUAAAAUGUGAUCACAAAGUGCACAUUCAUCGAUUGGCUAAUGUUUUAAUGCAAUUUAUCCUGGGAUCCCAAAAGAUAUGUGGCGAUAAUAAUCUGAUUCUCCUCUCCCUCCUGGGCAAAAGGAAACAUGUACUUCCCGGUCCCUCUUGCAGAACCUUGGGACUAAGUCUGGCCUGUACGCUGUGAGUAGGGCUGAUCUGUCACUUGCAGGCAGGGGCAGUGAAAAGCCCCUGUGUUACUGUGGAGGGCACAGGUGAAAUGGUGGAGACGCCAGAAGGCACUGCCCUAAGUCCAGGUGCCAGGAGGGUUACCUGAUGUUCACUGGAUGUGUCAUGUGAGCAAGAAAUAAACGGGUGUUGUGUUAAGUCACUGGCAUUUUGAGCUUAAUUUUUUUCAAUGUCACAACUGAGCCUCUGUUGACAAGUUGUAGUGGAGGUUGUGAUGCAUCACCUAGACCUCCACCUCUGGGAAGCUCGCUCACUUCCAAAGUAACUGGCUGCUGGCUGUUCACAGCCGAAU